rnacentral:rRNA from 1 species
UACGUAGGGGGCUAGCGUUGUCCGGAAUCAUUGGGCGUAAAGCGCGUGUAGGCGGUCCGGUAAGUCCGCUGUGAAAGUCGAGGGCUCAACCCUCGAAUGCCGGUGGAUACUGUCGGGCUUGAGUACGGGAGAGGCGAGUGGAAUUCCUGGUGUAGCGGUGAAAUGCGCAGAUAUCAGGAGGAACACCGAUUGCGAAGGCAGCUCGCUGGAACGUUACUGACGCUGAGACGCGAAAGCGUGGGGGAGCAAACAGG